AAAAGAUACCUGUGAGCUGUGGACAUCUGAAUGUUCACACAGCACUGACCUUUUUAAACAUGAAAAUGAAAACGAAUAGUCAGACUCCUGCAUUUUUCCAUGUCUUAUUUCAGUUUUAAAGAUGGACAAUAUGAUAAGAAAGUCUGUUUCUCUUCUGGAUUUCUAUUUCCAAAGAGAUAGCAAAGGUUCUCAGGUUACUUGGAGAGUUUACUAGGAUGCUGAGCGCUCCUCACCCACAUAGUUUAUUAUUCGGGAGGUCUGAGGUGGGACCCCAAAAGACAAAUUCUCAGGUGAGGUUGAUGCUGCUGGUCUGGCGACCACGCUUGGAGACUCCGUGAGCCAGAGGACUCUGCCCCGACUUGCUAGGGAGGCAGGAGCUCUGGUGACCUGCUGUGUGGCCUGGAGGAAGUCACUGCCCAUUCUGAGCCUCGGAUUCCUUGUUGGUAAACAGCGUCUUAGGACGCGGCUCUGUGAUGCUGUGGCCUGUGCGUCGCAUCGGCAUGUCUCAGCCGGCACCGGGCAGCAGAGGGCAGCAGAGAUCAGGAAAUGGCGUCCCGGCAGGCGGCUUCUCCCACUGCUGAAAUGAGUUCUCUCAACUGUCGCUCAGCACUCCGAAACCAUUAGCCAAAGAAGAAAGACAUUUCCUCAUCCCUUUGCUCUCCAAUGACUAAGAAAAGUGAAGUGAUGCCUUACACUGAAAUGUAUUUCUUAAAAGUUGGAUACUUGUAUCAUCUUGAAAGCCCCUCUACAUCCAGGAAAACUGCAGCCCAGAGAGGGGAGGAAAAGCCCGCGGCCUCCUGCUGGUGGCCAGAAAAUAGAUCGCCUUCAGGAAUAUUUACUGUGCUUUCUUGAGAAAAAUUUCCAAGCUACCCCUUGAAGCAAUGAAGUUGGAUUUGGAACAAGUGGAAACAUUAUAAAAUUGCUUAUUUUCUUCCAAAAU
rnacentral:lncRNA from 10 species